AGUGUAAAGGCAUAAGGGAGCUUGACUGCGAGACCUACAAGUCGAGCAGGGUCGAAAGACGGACUUAGUGAUCCGGUGGUUCCGCAUGGAAGGGCCAUCGCUCAACGGAUAAAAGCUACCCCGGGGAUAACAGGCUUAUCUCCCCCAAGAGUUCACAUCGACGGGGAGGUUUGGCACCUCGAUGUCGGCUCAUCGCAUCCUGGGGCUGUAGUCGGUCCCAAGGGUUGGGCUGUUCGCCCAUUAAAGCGGUACGCGAGCUGGGUUCAGAACGUCGUGAGACAGUUCGGUCCCUAUCCGUCGUGGGCGUAGGAAAUUUGAGAGGAGCUGUCCUUAGUACGAGAGGACCGGGAUGGACAUACCUCUGGUGUACCAGUUGUCGUGCCAACGGCAUAGCUGGGUAGCUAUGUGUGGACGGGAUAAGUGCUGAAAGCAUCUAAGCAUGAAGCCCCCCUCAAGAUGAGAUUU
rnacentral:rRNA from 1 species